AGUGAACGCUGGCGGUAGGCCUAACACAUGCAAGUCGAACGGCAGCACAGUAAGAGCUUGCUCUUACGGGUGGCGAGUGGCGGACGGGUGAGGAAUACAUCGGAAUCUACUUUUUCGUGGGGGAUAACGUAGGGAAACUUACGCUAAUACCGCAUACGACCUACGGGUGAAAGUAGGGGAUCUUCGGACCUUGCGCGAUUGAAUGAGCCGAUGUCGGAUUAGCUAGUUGGCGGGGUAAAGGCCCACCAAGGCGACGAUCCGUAGCUGGUCUGAGAGGAUGAUCAGCCACACUGGAACUGAGACACGGUCCAGACUCCUACGGGAGGCAGCAGUGGGGAAUAUUGGACAAUGGGCGCAAGCCUGAUCCAGCCAUACCGCGUGGGUGAAGAAGGCCUUCGGGUUGUAAAGCCCUUUUGUUGGGAAAGAAAAGCAGCAGGUUAAUACCCCGCUGUUCUGACGGUACCCAAAGAAGAAGCACCGGCUAACUUCG
rnacentral:rRNA from 1 species